CGGGCCGUAGCACAGCUUGGUAGUGCGCUUGUUUCGGGUACAAGAGGUCCAGGGUUCAAAUCCCUGCGGCCCGA
rnacentral:tRNA from 1 species